GAUGAACGCUAGCGGCAGGCUUAAAUACAUGCAAGUCGAGGGGCAGCACGGGUAGCAAUACCUGGUGGCGACCGGCAAACGGGUGCGGAACACGUACGCAACUUUCCCAAAACUGGUGAAUAGCCCUCCGAAAGGAGGAUUAAUACACCGUAACAUAAUGAAGUGGCAUCACUUUAUUAUUAUAGCUCCGGCGGUUUUGGAUGGGCGUGCGCCUGAUUAGGUAGUUGGCGGGGUAAACGGCCCACCAAGCCUUCGAUCAGUAACUGGUGUGAGAGCACGACCAGUCACACGGGCACUGAGACACGGGCCCGACUCCUACGGGAGGCAGCAGUAAGGAAUAUUGGUCAAUGGACGCAAGUCUGAACCAGCCAUGCCGCGUGAAGGAUG
rnacentral:rRNA from 1 species